CCGUAAACCAUCUCUCUCUCUCUCUCUUCAAGCAGCUGUCAAACCAAACACUUUCAUGGGCCCGGUGGCGUCUAUCAUGUUUCUCUAACUGCUCAAUCAUAGUUUAAACCCAUUUUUAUUUUCAUGAUAAGCUAUAUUUUUUCUCCCUCACUCUCUCUGUAUAAAAAACAUGUUCACGGUGAAACAUGUGGUUCAUCACCUAGCAAUACCAAGACGAUGAUCUGGAUCUUAUAAUUGUGUUUUCUUUUAAUUUGGAUCUUAUAAUUGUGUUUGUGCUUCAUUGAUUUUUUUGAAUUAUGUAUAAAUGUACAAACAUUAACUUUGAUUCUCUUCAUAUCAGUUCUUCCUGAAAACAAGUUAUAUUCAUUUACGUUAGCAAGUGAUAAAGUAACGAAUCUGAGUUAUAGCAGACAAAGAAAAAGAUUCAUUGAAAGGAGUUUGAGAGAAGCACAUAUGCAGUUAUAUCACGUGGCUGAUGGAGAAUUCUUCACUGAAUCUAGUCUAUUGAACUGAUUCAGCUUCACGACCAACGGAAAUCCAAGAUGAAUACAGAUAAAGAGAACGAGAAAAAAAAAAGGAAAAAGAAGAAUCACAACUGAAGAAAUCCUCAUGAUUAAUUUUGUUAACUGUUUUUUUUCUUCUGAAAGUUCAUCAUUUUCUUUUUCCCGUUAUUUUGCUUCUCUGUAUAUAUUUUUUGUCAGAAUUUAUUUCGAUGGAUCAAAGAAAUAAUGGAAAAUGAUUUUAUUUGAUUUA